CCUACGGGAGGCAGCAGUCGAGAAUCAUUCACAAUGGGGGAAACCCUGAUGGUGCGACGCCGCGUGGGGGAAUGAAGGUCUUCGGAUUGUAAACCCCUGUCAUGUGGGAGCAAAUUAAAAAGAUAGUACCACAAGAGGAAGAGACGGCUAACUCUGUGCCAGCACCCGCGGUACUACAGAGGUCUCAAGCGUUGUUCGGAAACACUGGGCGUAAAGCGUGCGUAGGCUGUUUCGUAAGUCGUGUGUGAAAGGCGCGGGCUCAACCCGCGGACGGCCCAUGAUACUGCGAGACUAGAGUAAUGGAGGGGGAACCGGAAUUCUCGGUGUAGCAGUGAAAUGCGUAGAUAUCGAGAGGAACACUCGUGGCGAAGGCGGGUUCCUGGACAUUAACUGACGCUGAGGCACGAAGGCCAGGGGAGCGAAAGGGAUUAGAUACCCGAGUAGUC
rnacentral:rRNA from 1 species